rnacentral:rRNA from 1 species
GACGAACGCUGGCGGCGUGCUUAACACAUGCAAGUCGAACGGUGAAGCGCCUUCCUUUUUGGUGGGUGUGGAUGAGUGGCGAACUGGUGAGUAACACGUGAGUAACCUGCCCCCUUCUUCUGGAUAACCGCAUGAAAGUGUGGCUAAUACGGGAUAUUCUGGGUCUGUCGCAUGAUGGGUCUGGGAAAGAUAUUGUUUCGGUGGGGGAUGGGCUCGCGGCCUAUCAGCUUGUUGGUGGGGUGAUGGCCUACCAAGGCGGUGACGGGUAGCCGGCCUGAGAGGGUGGACGGUCACACUGGGACUGAGACACGGCCCAGACUCCUACGGGAGGCAGCAGUGGGGAAUAUUGCACAAUGGGCGCAAGCCUGAUGCAGCGACGCCGCGUGAGGGAUGGAGGCCUUCGGGUUGUGAACCUCUUUCGCCAGUGAAGCAGGCCUGCCUCGUUUGUGGGUGGGUUGACGGUAGCUGGAUAAGAAGCGCCGGCUAACUACGUG